UGUGUGUUAGUGGAAGCGUCUGGAAAGGCGCGCGAUACAGGGUGACAGCCCCGUACACAAAAAUGCACAUGCUGUGAGCUCGAUGAGUAGGGCGGGACACGUGGUAUCCUGUCUGAAUAUGGGGGGACCAUCCUCCAAGGCUAAAUACUCCUGACUGACCGAUAGUGAACCAGUACCGUGAGGGAAAGGCGAAAAGAACCCCGGCGAGGGGAGUGAAAAAGAACCUGAAACCGUGUACGUACAAGCAGUGGGAGCACGCUUAGGCGUGUGACUGCGUACCUUUUGUAUAAUGGGUCAGCGACUUAUAUUCUGUAGCAAGGUUAACCGAAUAGGGGAGCCGAAGGGAAACCGAGUCUUAACUGGGCGUUAAGUUGCAGGGUAUAGACCCGAAACCCGGUGAUCUAGCCAUGGGCAGGUUGAAGGUUGGGUAACACUAACUGGAGGACCGAACCGACUAAUGUUGAAAAAUUAGCGGAUGACUUGUGGCUGGGGGUGAAAGGCCAAUCAAACCGGGAGAUAGCUGGUUCUCCCCGAAAGCUAUUUAGGUAGCGCCUCGUGAAUUCAUCUCCGGGGGUAGAGCACUGUUUCGGCAAGGGGGUCAUCCCGACUUACCAACCCGAUGCAAACUGCGAAUACCGGAGAAUGUUAUCACGGGAGACACACGGCGGGUGCUAACGUCCGUCGUGAAGAGGGAAACAACCCAGACCGCCAGCUAAGGUCCCAAAGUCAUGGUUAAGUGGGAAACGAUGUGGGAAGGCCCAGACAGCCAGGAUGUUGGCUUAGAAGCAGCCAUCAUUUAAAGAAAGCGUAAUAGCUCACUGGUCGAGUCGGCCUGCGCGGAAGAUGUAACGGGGCUAAACCAUGCACCGAAGCUGCGGCAGCGACGCUUAUGCGUUGUUGGGUAGGGGAGCGUUCUGUAAGCCUGUGAAGGUGUGCUGUGAGGCAUGCUGGAGGUAUCAGAAGUGCGAAUGCUGACAUAAGUAACGAUAAAGCGGGUGAAAAGCCCGCUCGCCGGAAGACCAAGGGUUCCUGUCCAACGUUAAUCGGGGCAGGGUGAGUCGACCCCUAAGGCGAGGCCGAAAGGCGUAGUCGAUGGGAAACAGGUUAAUAUUCCUGUACUUGGUGUUACUGCGAAGGGGGGACGGAGAAGGCUAUGUUGGCCGGGCGACGGUUGUCCCGGUUUAAGCGUGUAGGCUGGUUUUCCAGGCAAAUCCGGAAAAUCAAGGCUGAGGCGUGAUGACGAGGCACUACGGUGCUGAAGCAACAAAUGCCCUGCUUCCAGGAAAAGCCUCUAAGCAUCAGGUAACAUCAAAUCGUACCCCAAACCGACACAGGUGGUCAGGUAGAGAAUACCAAGGCGCUUGAGAGAACUCGGGUGAAGGAACUAGGCAAAAUGGUGCCGUAACUUCGGGAGAAGGCACGCUGAUAUGUAGGUGAAGUCCCUCGCGGAUGGAGCUGAAAUCAGUCGAAGAUACCAGCUGGCUGCAACUGUUUAUUAAAAACACAGCACUGUGCAAACACGAAAGUGGACGUAUACGGUGUGACGCCUGCCCGGUGCCGGAAGGUUAAUUGAUGGGGUUAGCGCAAGCGAAGCUCUUGAUCGAAGCCCCGGUAAACGGCGGCCGUAACUAUAACGGUCCUAAGGUAGCGAAAUUCCUUGUCGGGUAAGUUCCGACCUGCACGAAUGGCGUAAUGAUGGCCAGGCUGUCUCCACCCGAGACUCAGUGAAAUUGAACUCGCUGUGAAGAUGCAGUGUACCCGCGGCAAGACGGAAAGACCCCGUGAACCUUUACUAUAGCUUGACACUGAACAUUGAGCCUUGAUGUGUAGGAUAGGUGGGAGGCUUUGAAGUGUGGACGCCAGUCUGCAUGGAGCCGACCUUGAAAUACCACCCUUUAAUGUUUGAUGUUCUAACGUUGACCCGUGAUCCGGGUUGCGGACAGUGUCUGGUGGGUAGUUUGACUGGGGCGGUCUCCUCCUAAAGAGUAACGGAGGAGCACGAAGGUUGGCUAAUCCUGGUCGGACAUCAGGAGGUUAGUGCAAUGGCAUAAGCCAGCUUGACUGCGAGCGUGACGGCGCGAGCAGGUGCGAAAGCAGGUCAUAGUGAUCCGGUGGUUCUGAAUGGAAGGGCCAUCGCUCAACGGAUAAAAGGUACUCCGGGGAUAACAGGCUGAUACCGCCCAAGAGUUCAUAUCGACGGCGGUGUUUGGCACCUCGAUGUCGGCUCAUCACAUCCUGGGGCUGAAGUAGGUCCCAAGGGUAUGGCUGUUCGCCAUUUAAAGUGGUACGCGAGCUGGGUUUAGAACGUCGUGAGACAGUUCGGUCCCUAUCUGCCGUGGGCGCUGGAGAACUGAGGGGGGCUGCUCCUAGUACGAGAGGACCGGAGUGGACGCAUCACUGGUGUUCGGGUUGUCAUGCCAAUGGCACUGCCCGGUAGCUAAAUGCGGAAGAGAUAAGUGCUGAAAGCAUCUAAGCACGAAACUUGCCCCGAGAUGAGUUCUCCCUGACUCCUUGAGAGUCCUGAAGGAACGUUGAAGACGACGACGUUGAUAGGCCGGGUGUGUAAGCGCAGCGAUGCGUUGAGCUAACCGGUACUAAUGAACCGUGAGGCUUAACCUU
rnacentral:rRNA from 1 species